AUUGAACGCUGGCGGCAUGCCUUACACAUGCAAGUCGAACGGCAGCGCGGACUUCGGUCUGGCGGCGAGUGGCGAACGGGUGAGUAAUACAUCGGAACGUACCCUGUUGUGGGGGAUAACUAGUCGAAAGAUUAGCUAAUACCGCAUACGACCUGAGGGUGAAAGUGGGGGACCGCAAGGCCUCACGCAGCAGGAGCGGCCGAUGUCUGAUUAGCUAGUUGGUGGGGUAAAGGCCCACCAAGGCGACGAUCAGUAGCUGGUCUGAGAGGACGAUCAGCCACACUGGGACUGAGACACGGCCCAGACUCCUACGGGAGGCAGCAGUGGGGAAUUUUGGACAAUGGGGGCAACCCUGACCCAGCAAUGCCGCGUGUGUGAAGAAGGCCUUCGGGUUGUAAAGCACUUUUGUCCGGAAAGAAAUCGCGCCGGUUAAUACCUGGCGUGGAUGACGGUACCGGAAGAAUAAGCACCGGCUAACUACGUGCCAGCCGCCGCCGUAA
rnacentral:rRNA from 1 species